AUGAGUUUUUUUUUAUUCCAGUUUGAAAAUGCAAAAAAAAAGAAGAAAUCCGCCCAUUGCUACUUUAAAGAAGACCAACUCCUCCCUGUGUGUAAAGACCAUUUUUUUAAUCACUUUAUUCAUAUCAGCAAGGCCCAGUUUUCAGUAGUUUACACUUCUCAUGGACAACGAUACAGAAUUUGCAGUUGCAUGGACAGAAUUAACCUGGACACAUCCACUACACGGGGCAGGGGCUGCGGAGACGUCCUGGCCACGCUCCCAGGGCUUCCCCUGGGGCUGGCAGCACCCAGAGCCCUGGUACAGCUCAGGGCAGCACCCACAGCCCUGGCAGGGCUCAGGGCAGCACCCAGAGCCUUGGCAGAGCUCAGGGCAGCACCCACAGCCCUGCAGAGCUCAGGGCAGCACCCACAGCCCUGGUACAGCUCAGGGCAGCACCCACAGCCCUGCAGAGCUCAGGGCAGCAUCCACAGCCCUGGCAGAGCUCAGGGGCGCAGGCUCAGGGCAGCACCCAGAGCCCUGGCAGGGGUGCCCAGGGCUGCAGGAACAGGGCUCAGGGCAGCACCCACAGCCCUGCAGGGCUCAGGGCAGCACCCACAGCCCUGCAGAGCCCAGGGCAGCAUCCACAGCCCUGGUACAGCUCAGGGCAGCACCCACAGCCCUGCAGGGCUCAGGGCAGUACCCAGAGCCUUGGCAGAGCCAGGGCAGCACCCACAGCCCGGCAGGCCAGGGCCCUACCCAGCACCCAGAGCCUUGGCAGAGCUCAGGGCAGCAUCCACAGCCCUGGCAGAGCUCAGGGCAGCAUCCACAGCCCUGCAGGGCUCAGGGCAGCACCCACAGCCCUGCAGAGCUCAGGGCAGCAUCCACAGCCCUGGUACAGCUCAGGGCAGCACCCACAGCCCUGGUACAGCUCAGGGCAGCACCCACAGCCCUGCAGAGCUCAGGGCAGCACCCACAGCCCUGCAGGGCUCAGGGCAGCAUCCACAGCCCUGCAGAGCUCAGGGCAGCAUCCACAGCCCUGGCAGAGCUCAGGGCAGCACCCACAGCCCUGCAGAGCCCAGGGCAGCAUCCACAGCCCUGGUACAGCUCAGGGCAGCAUCCACAGCCCUGGCAGAGCUCAGGGCAGCACCCAGAGCCCUGGCAGGGGUGCCCAGGGCUGCAGGAACAGGGCUCAGGGGUCACCAGUGCCCCCAGCAGCCAGGGGACACUGCUGGCUUUGGCUCUGCUCCACAGCUGCACCUGGGGCUGGGGUGGAAUUUCUUGUGGGUUUUUUUUUUUAGGGAUGAAAAAGUCUUGGGGACAACACUCUCCAGACAAGGAUUUCAGUGUUCUGAUGGUGAAAAGGUCAAAGCUUUUAAAAAAUAA
rnacentral:lncRNA from 1 species